AACGCACGAGACCUGCGGACCUGCGGAGGGAUCAUUAGUGAACGCCCUCACGGGCUUAUGACUAUUCCAAACCUCUGUGAACCGUGCCCUUCGGGGCUAUUUUACAAACAUGGUGUAAUGAACGUCAUAUAUCAUAACAAAACAAAACUUUUAACAAUGGAUCUCU
rnacentral:misc_RNA from 1 species